CACAAUAAAAUAUGAAGGCUGUACGCGGCUGUGCUCUCGGGCCAGUUUUGGGGAGGCUGAAUUAUUUAUUACCCUUGUCUUUUGCGCACUUGUUGUUUCCUGGGCGGGUUCGCCCGCCACCAGGACCACAUCAUAAACCUUUUUUAUGCAGUUGCAAUCAGCGUCAGUAUAACAAAUGUAAAUCAUUUA
rnacentral:misc_RNA from 1 species